GUAGGUGGCAAGCGUUGUUCGGAAUUAUUGGGCGUAAAGCGCGCGCAGGCGGUUCUUUAAGUCUGAUGUGAAAGCCCACGGGCUCAACCGUGGAGGGUCAUUGGAAACUGGAGAACUUGAGUACAGAAGAGGAAAGCGGAAUUCCACGUGUAGCGGUGAAAUGCGUAGAGAUGUGGAGGAACACCAGUGGCGAAGGCGGCUUUCUGGUCUGUAACUGACGCUGAGGCGCGAAAGCGUGGGGAGCAAACAGGAUUAGAUACCCUGGUAGUCCACGCCGUAAACGAUGAGUGCUAAGUGUUAGGGGGUUUCCGCCCCUUAGUGCUGCAGCUAACGCAUUAAGCACUCCGCCUGGGGAGUACGGCCGCAAGGCUG
rnacentral:rRNA from 1 species